GCAUCCGUAGCUCAGCUGGAUAGAGUACUCGGCUACGAACCGAGCGGUCGGAGGUUCUCCUCCCGGAUGCACCC
rnacentral:tRNA from 1 species